CACGUAGGGUGCGAGCGUUGUCCGGAAUUAUUGGGCGUAAAGAGCUCGUAGGCGGUGUGUCGCGUCGGCCGUGAAAACCUGCAGCUUAACUGUGGGCUUGCGGUCGAUACGGGCAUCACUGGAGUUCGGCAGGGGAGACUGGAAUUCCUGGUGUAGCGGUGAAAUGCGCAGAUAUCAGGAAGAACACCAAUGGCGAAAGCAGCGUUCUGGGACGGUACUGACGCUGAGACGCGAAAGCGUGGGGAGCGAACAGG
rnacentral:rRNA from 1 species